ACGCUGGCGGCGUGCCUAAUACAUGCAAGUAGAACGCUGAAGAGAGGAGCUUGCUCUUCUUGGAAGAGUUGCGAACGGGUGAGUAACGCGUAGGUAACCUGCCUUGUAGCGGGGGAUAACUAUUGGAAACGAUAGCUAAUACCGCAUAACAAUGGGUGACCCAUGUCAUUCAUUUGAAAGGGGCAACUGCUCCACUACAAGAUGGACCUGCGUUGUAUUAGCUAGUAGGUGAGGUAACGGCUCACCUAGGCGACGAUACAUAGCCGACCUGAGAGGGUGAUCGGCCACACUGGGACUGAGACACGGCCCAGACUCCUACGGGAGGCAGCAGUAGGGAAUCUUCGGCAAUGGGGGCAACCCUGACCGAGCAACGCCGCGUGAGUGAAGAAGGUUUUCGGAUCGUAAAGCUCUGUUGUAAGUCAAGAACGAGUGUGAGAGUGGAAAGUUCACACUGUGACGGUAGCUUACCAGAAAGGGACGGCUAACUACGUGCCAGCAGCCGCGGUAAUACGUAGGUCCCGAACGUUGUCCGGAUUUAUUGGGCGUAAAGCGAGCGCAGGCGGUUUGAUAAGUCUGAAGUUAAAGGCUGUGGCUCAACCAUAGUUCGCUUUGGAAACUGUCAAACUUGAGUGCAGAAGGGGAGAGUGGAAUUCCAUGUGUAGCGGUGAAAUGCGUAGAUAUAUGGAGGAACACCGGUGGCGAAAGCGGCUCUCUGGUCUGUAACUGACGCUGAGGCUCGAAAGCGUGGGGAGCGAACAGGAUUAGAUACCCUGGUAGUCCACGCCGUAAACGAUGAGUGCUAGGUGUUGGUUCCUUUCCGGGAUUCAGUGCCGCAGCUAACGCAUUAAGCACUCCGCCUGGGGAGUACGACCGCAAGGUUGAAACUCAAAGGAAUUGACGGGGGCCCGC
rnacentral:rRNA from 1 species